AAAAAGAUAAACCCUGGGUUUCCGUGUCCAACUUUGACUGUCCGUCUUAUAUGAAAUUUUUUUAUAAUUCGUAUUUUUAUUGUUGUUAGAUGAUAAAAUAUGAUUAAUAUUUUAUGUGUGACUUGUCUUUUUAUUUUUUUUUAUAAUUUUUUCAAAUAAGACGGACGGUCAAACGUUGGGCACGGAAAUCAGGGUUUGUCUUUUU
rnacentral:pre_miRNA from 1 species